rnacentral:rRNA from 1 species
CAGCCGCCGCGGGAAUACAGAGGGUGCAAGCGUUAAUCGGAAUUACUGGGCGUAAAGCGCGCGUAGGUGGUUCAUUAAGUUGGAUGUGAAAGCCCUGGGCUCAACCUGGGAACUGCAUCCAAAACUGGUGAGCUAGAGUACGGUAGAGGGUAGUGGAAUUUCCUGUGUAGCGGUGAAAUGCGUAGAUAUAGGAAGGAACACCAGUGGCGAAGGCGACUACCUGGACUGAUACUGACACUGAGGUGCGAAAGCGUGGGGAGCAAACAGGAUUAGAUACCCGCGUAGUCCCUGUCUCUUAUAC